rnacentral:rRNA from 1 species
AUUGAACGCUGGCGGCAGGCUUAACACAUGCAAGUCGAGCGGGGAAAGGUAGCUUGCUACCUAACCUAGCGGCGGACGGGUGAGUAAUGCUUAGGAAUCUGCCUAUUAGUGGGGGACAACAUCCCGAAAGGAAUGCUAAUACCGCAUACGCCCUACGGGGGAAAGCAGGGGAACUUCGGACCUUGCGUUUAUAGAUGAGCCUAAAUCAGAAUUGCUAGUUGGUGGGGUAAAGGCCUACCAAGGCGACGAUCUGUAGCGGGUCUGAGAGGAGGAACCGCCACACUGGGACUGAGGAACGGCCCAGACUCCUACGGGAGGCAGCAGUGGGGAAUAUUGGACAAUGGGCGAAAGCCUGAUCCAGCCAUGCCGCGUGUGUGAAGAAGGCCUUUUGGUUGUAAAGCACUUUAAGCGAGGAAGAGGCUACUUGGAUUAAUACUCUAGGAUAGUGGACGUUACUCGCAGAAUAAGCACCGGCUAACUCUGUGCCAGCCGCCGCCGUAA